CUGAUUGAGAUUUUAACACGAAGUGAGUGGCGAACGGGUGAGUAACACGUGGGUAACCUGCCCAGAAGUAGGGGAUAACACCUGGAAACAGAUGCUAAUACCGUAUAACAGAGAAAACCGCAUGGUUUUCUUUUAAAAGAUGGCUCUGCUAUCACUUCUGGAUGGACCCGCGGCGUAUUAGCUAGUUGGUGAGGUAAAGGCUCACCAAGGCAGUGAUACGUAGCCGACCUGAGAGGGUAAUCGGCCACAUUGGGACUGAGACACGGCCCAGACUCCUACGGGAGGCAGCAGUAGGGAAUCUUCCACAAUGGACGCAAGUCUGAUGGAGCAACGCCGCGUGAGUGAAGAAGGGUUUCGGCUCGUAAAGCUCUGUUGUUAAAGAAGAACGUGGGUAAGAGUAACUGUUUACCCAGUGACGGUAUUUAACCAGAAAGCCACGGCUAACUACGUGCCAGCAGCCGCGGUAAUACGUAGGUGGCAAGCGUUAUCCGGAUUUAUUGGGCGUAAAGCGAGCGCAGGCGGUCUUUUAAGUCUAAUGUGAAAGCCUUCGGCUCAACCGAAGAAGUGCAUUGGAAACUGGGAGACUUGAGUGCAGAA
rnacentral:rRNA from 1 species